rnacentral:rRNA from 1 species
CAUAGCAACCAUAUCACCCUGCAGCCCAAGACUGGUUGCCCACUGAAGCUAAGCAGGGUUGAGCCUGGUCAGUACCUGGAUGGGAGACCUCCUGGGAAAACUAGGUUGCUGCUGGAA